GAUGAACGCUGGCGGCGUGCCUAAUACAUGCAAGUCGAGCGAACAGAUGAGGAGCUUGCUCCUCUGACGUUAGCGGCGGACGGGUGAGUAACACGUGGAUAACCUACCUAUAAGACUGGGAUAACUUCGGGAAACCGGAGCUAAUACCGGAUAAUAUCUUGAACCGCAUGGUUCAAUAGUGAAAGACGGUUUUGCUGUCACUUAUAGAUGGAUCCGCGCCGCAUUAGCUAGUUGGUAAGGUAACGGCUUACCAAGGCAACGAUGCGUAGCCGACCUGAGAGAGUGAUCGGCCACACUGGAACUGAGACACGGUCCAGACUCCUACGGGAGGCAGCAGUAGGGAAUCGUCCGCAAUGGGCGAAAGCCUGACGGAGCAACGCCGCGUGAGUGAUGAAGGUCUUCGGAUCGUAAAACUCUGUUAUUAGGGAAGAACAAAUGUGUAAGUAACUAUGCACGUCUUGACGGUACCUAAUCAGAAAGCCACGGCUAACUACGUG
rnacentral:rRNA from 1 species